rnacentral:rRNA from 4 species
UGCUGGAGGUAUCAGAAGUGCGAAUGCUGACAUAAGUAACGAUAAAGCGGGUGAAAAGCCCGCUCGCCGGAAGACCAAGGGUUCCUGUCCAACGUUAAUCGGGGCAGGGUGAGUCGACCCCUAAGGCGAGGCCGAAAGGCGUAGUCGAUGGGAAACGGGUUAAUAUUCCCGUACUUGGUGUUACUGCGAAGGGGGGACGGAGAAGGCUAUGUUGGCCGGGCGACGGUUGUCCCGGUUUAAGCGUGUAGGUGUGUGUUCCAGGUAAAUCCGGUUCACUUUAACACUGAGGCGUGACGACGAGGCACUACGGUGCUGAAGCAACAAAUGCCCUGCUUCCAGGAAAAGCCUCUAAGCAUCAGGUAACACGAAAUCGUACCCCAAACCGACACAGGUGGUCAGGUAGAGAAUACCAAGGCGCUUGAGAGAACUCGGGUGAAGGAACUAGGCAAAAUGGUGCCGUAACUUCGGGAGAAGGCACGCUGACACGUAGGUGAAGUGAUUUACUCAUGGAGCUGAAGUCAGUCGAAGAUACCAGCUGGCUGCAACUGUUUAUUAAAAACACAGCACUGUGCAAACACGAAAGUGGACGUAUACGGUGUGACGCCUGCCCGGUGCCGGAAGGUUAAUUGAUGGGGUCAGCGUAAGCGAAGCUCCUGAUCGAAGCCCCGGUAAACGGCGGCCGUAACUAUAACGGUCCUAAGGUAGCGAAAUUCCUUGUCGGGUAAGUUCCGACCUGCACGAAUGGCGUAAUGAUGGCCAGGCUGUCUCCACCCGAGACUCAGUGAAAUUGAACUCGCUGUGAAGAUGCAGUGUACCCGCGGCAAGACGGAAAGACCCCGUGAACCUUUACUAUAGCUUGACACUGAACAUUGAGCCUUGAUGUGUAGGAUAGGUGGGAGGCUUUGAAGUGUGGACGCCAGUCUGCAUGGAGCCGACCUUGAAAUACCACCCUUUAAUGUUUGAUGUUCUAACGUGGACCCGUAAUCCGGGUUGCGGACAGUGUCUGGUGGGUAGUUUGACUGGGGCGGUCUCCUCCUAAAGAGUAACGGAGGAGCACGAAGGUUGGCUAAUCCUGGUCGGACAUCAGGAGGUUAGUGCAAUGGCAUAAGCCAGCUUGACUGCGAGCGUGACGGCGCGAGCAGGUGCGAAAGCAGGUCAUAGUGAUCCGGUGGUUCUGAAUGGAAGGGCCAUCGCUCAACGGAUAAAAGGUACUCCGGGGAUAACAGGCUGAUACCGCCCAAGAGUUCAUAUCGACGGCGGUGUUUGGCACCUCGAUGUCGGCUCAUCACAUCCUGGGGCUGAAGUAGGUCCCAAGGGUAUGGCUGUUCGCCAUUUAAAGUGGUACGCGAGCUGGGUUUAGAACGUCGUGAGACAGUUCGGUCCCUAUCUGCCGUGGGCGCUGGAGAACUGAGGGGGGCUGCUCCUAGUACGAGAGGACCGGAGUGGACGCAUCACUGGUGUUCGGGUUGUCAUGCCAAUGGCACUGCCCGGUAGCUAAAUGCGGAAGAGAUAAGUGCUGAAAGCAUCUAAGCACGAAACUUGCCCCGAGAUGAGUUCUCCCUGAGACUUUAGGUCUCCUGAAGGAACGUUGAAGACGACGACGUUGAUAGGCCGGGUGUGUAAGCGCAGCGAUGCGUUGAGCUAACCGGUACUAAUGAACCGUGAGGCUUAACCUUACAACGCCGAAG